UCGGCAUUGGUAUGUAUGUACCUCUGUUCUCACAGUGCUGACAUGGCCUCAACGAUGUGUUGCAUUUGGAGGAAGCCUAGUUGUCUUCUCCAUCACUGGAACAUGGCUUCUUUUCACUUUCUAGCAGGGAACUUUUUCCUCUCUGUUCACACACAUCAGGAGAAGGCCUCUCUACAAACCAGGGUGCACUCACUUCAGCGCCCUGACUCAUCUGCCUCAGACAUGGCAAUAGCCAAGUCACCAAAACCAGCUUCAUCUCUGCAGUGCUCCACCUUGACCAUACUGGGCAUACUCAAGACAACACGCAGGAUUCUGUCUCCCUCUUACCAUUCAAGAAAACGCAGAAGGUCACGCUGUCCUGCAUCAAUGUCCAGGCCUCUGUCUGGAGGCAGAGAGGAACAAGAACAGCUUGUGGAGGUGGAACACGCAGGUCUUGAGCCUCCUGAACCAUACUCUUCAUCUCCUGCCAGAAAACCUAUCAUUAUCUUCCAAUCAGAUGGUCUUUGGCUCCUGUAUCAGCUUCAGAUGAUUAUAAAGCCUUCCAGAGUUGUUCUUUCAUAUAGGUAAUACCCUUGAGAUAAAGACCUUAAUGAUGGAAGAGAAAGCUCACAAGCUUUUUGAUAGAGCACGUUCUUCUGCUCCUGCCAGACAUGCAUUUCAAGAAGUCUUGGAACCAAAACUCUAUGGUGUGCACCAGCAACACUGCCUCCAACUGCUAAAGGAACA